rnacentral:rRNA from 1 species
CCUGGUUGAUCCUGCCAUAUAUAUGCUUGUUUAAAAGAUUAAGCCAUGCAAAUUUAAGUGUUGUUCGGGUUUACUUGGAUAACACUGUAGAUUGCUUAUUAAAAAAGCGAAAAUGUAUGGAGAGGAAGAAGGUAUUAACGGCUUGCCGUAAAGGUCUUGUUUGAUAACAAAGUGAAAAAUUUUGAUAAGAAACAAAGAGAGAAAAGGGGGGAAGCGCCAAUGAAAUUGAGUUCUCCUUAUAAGAAAAACGUAAGUUUUUCUGAUUUUUUCCUACAUUCGCUUAUCUAUCAUAAUUGAAGGAUGUGUAGUGAACAUUCUUGUUUAUAACGGAUACGGAGAAUAAGGGUUUGAUUCCGAAGAGGGAGCAUGAGAAAUGGCUACUACAUCUAAGGGUGGCAGCAGGCGCGAAAAUUGCCCAAUACAGACUCUGUGAGGCAGUGACAAAAAAUAACAAUAGAAGAGUCAUUAUGGCUAUUCUAAUUGGAAUGAGAACAAGAUAAAAUUUUUAACGAGAAACAAGAAAAGGGCAAGUCUGGUGCCAGCAGCCGCGGUAAUACCAGCUUUUCUAGCAUAUAUUAAAGUUGCUGCAGUUAAAACGCUCGUAGUUUGAAUUAUUUCCUUGGGGAGGGAGGGAAGAGGGGGUCGUGGGCGCAAGUCUGCGGCACUCUCACAAAAAUUCCCUUUUUGCCCAAGGAAUUGUUAAGAGUGGAGUGCGGGCCUUUAAGUAGGCGCGCACUCGGAUAACCAUGAACAAAAAAUAUUGCUCAAAGAAGGUCAGAUUGACUAUUGAGUUUUCAGCAUGGGAUUAUGGAAGAAGAGGGUGGUGGAGGGGGAGGGGUUUCGGCUCUUUUCUCACGCCGCCUUAAUGGUUAAUGAGGACGAAGCGUGGAAGUUCAUAUUAAAAUGUCAGAGGUGAAAUUCUUGGAUUAUUUUAAGAUGAACAUCAGCGAAGGCAUUCUCAAGUGCGUGCCUGUCAAUCAAGAACGAAAGUUGGGGGAUCGAAGACGAUCAGAUACCGUCGUAGUCUCAACAGUAAACUAUGCCGACUAUGAAUUGGAAAUCGUUUUAAGAGGAUGUAAAGGGAAACCUUUUGCCUCUGAUGACUCUUCCAGCGCAUUACAAGAAAUUAAGAGUUUUUGGGUUCCGGGGGGAGUAUAGUCGCAAGGCCGAAACUUAAAAGAAUUGACGGAAGGGCACCACCAGGUGUGGAGCCUGCGGCUUAAUUUGACCCAACACGGGGAAACUUACCAGGUCCAAACAGCGUGAGGAUUGACAGAUUGAUAGCUCUUUCAUGAUUCGUUGGGUGGUGGUGCAUGGCCGUUUUUAGUUGGUGGUGUGAGUUGUCUGGUUGAUUCCGUUAACGAACGAGACCUUUGUUGUAUAAUAGGAGGCAGGAGUCUUUGCG